rnacentral:rRNA from 1 species
UACGGAGGGUGCAAGCGUUAUUCGGAAUUACUGGGCGUAAAGCGUGCGCAGGCGGUUUGGUAAGUCUGUUGUGAAAUCCCCGAGCUCAACUUGGGAAUUGCAAUGGAUACUGGCAGGCUGGAGUAUGGUAGAGGAAGGUGGAAUUUCCGGUGUAGCAGUGAAAUGCGUAGAGAUCGGGAGGAACACCAGUGGCGAAGGCGGCCUUCUGGACCAAUACUGACGCUCAUGCACGAAAGCGUGGGGAGCAAACAGG